GGUUAAGCGACUAAGCGUACACGGUGGAUGCCCUGGCAGUCAGAGGCGAUGAAGGGCGUGCUAAUCUGCGAUAAGCGCCGGUAAGGUGAUAUGAACCGUUAUAACCGGCGAUACCCGAAUGGGGAAACCCAGUGUGACUCGUCACACUAUCAUUAACUGAAUCCAUAGGUUAAUGAGGCGAACCGGGGGAACUGAAACAUCUAAGUACCCCGAGGAAAAGAAAUCAACCGAGAUUCCCCCAGUAGCGGCGAGCGAACGGGGAGGAGCCCAGAGCCUGAAUCAGCAUGUGUGUUAGUGGAAGCGUCUGGAAAGGCGCGCGAUACAGGGUGACAGCCCCGUACACAAAAGCGCAUGUGCUGUGAGCUCGAUGAGUAGGGCGGGACACGUGGUAUCCUGUCUGAAUAUGGGGGGACCAUCCUCCAAGGCUAAAUACUCCUGACUGACCGAUAGUGAACCAGUACCGUGAGGGAAAGGCGAAAAGAACCCCGGCGAGGGGAGUGAAAAAGAACCUGAAACCGUGUACGUACAAGCAGUGGGAGCCCCACCACUAAGCCAGUGGUGAACUCCACAUACGCAUCCUUUGCUGAGGAUACGGUUAACGGAGCGCAAGCGACGUUCAACCGCAAAAGAAGCAGAGGGGGCUUAGUGGUGGGGUGACUGCGUACCUUUUGUAUAAUGGGUCAGCGACUUAUAUUCUGUAGCAAGGUUAACCGUAUAGGGGAGCCG
rnacentral:rRNA from 2 species